CAGAGAUCACAUGGUGAGAGAGGAAGCAAAAGGGUGGGGGAGGUGCCAGGAUCUUUUUAACAAACAGUUUUCUCAGGAAACAACAG